rnacentral:rRNA from 1 species
GGAUGCGCAGCUACCAUGCAGUCGAGCGGUAACAGAUCCAGCUUGCUGGAUGCUGACGAGCGGCGGACGGGUGAGUAAUGCAUAGGAAUCUGCCCGAUAGUGGGGGAUAACCUGGGGAAACCCAGGGUAAUACCGCAUACGUCCUACGGGAGAAAGGGGGCUGCGGCUCCCGCUAUCGGAUGAGCCUAUGUCGGAUUAGCUAAUUGGUGAGGUAACGGCUCACCAGGGCCACGAUCCGUAGCUGGUCUGAGAGGAUGAUCAGCCACAUCGGGACUGGACACGGCCCGAACUCCUACGGGAGGCAGCAGUGGGGAAUAUUGGACAAUGGGGGGAACCCUGAUCCAGCCAUGCCGCGUGUGUGAAGAAGGCCCUCGGGUUGUAAAGCACUUUCAGCGAGGAAGAACGCCUAACGGUUAAUACCCGCUAGGAAAGACAUCACUCGCAGAAGAAGCACCGGCUAACUCCGUGCCAGCAGCCGCGGUAAUACGGAGGGUGCAAGCGUUAAUCGGAAUUACUGGGCGUAAAGCGCGCGUAGGUGGCUUGAUAAGCCGGUUGUGAAAGCCCCGGGCUCAACCUGGGAACGGCAUCCGGAACUGUCAAGCUAGAGUGCAGGAGAGGAAGGUAGAAUUCCCGGUGUAGCGGUGAAAUGCGUAGAGAUCGGGAGGAAUACCAGUGGCGAAGGCGGCCUUCUGGACUGACACUGACACUGAGGUGCUAAAGCGUGGGUAGCAAACAAGAUUAGUACCU